rfam:Candidate division TA06 bacterium 34_109 MPJ_scaffold_0, whole genome shotgun sequence.
GGAGAGGUGGCCGAGUGGUCGAAGGCGGCGGAUUGCUAAUCCGUUGUAGUGGUAAUACCGCUACCCCGGGUUCAAAUCCCGGCCUCUCCG